GGCUGGAUCACCUCCUUUCUGGAGUCCACAAAAGGUCGGUCGACGAAGCGAGCAUUUCCGCGUCUUUUAUAGAUGCGUGAGAGCUCGAGACGCUCGAUGAGAUCUGGGCUCACAGGGUCGAUAGAUCACUCGAAGAAGAGUUCGAUCUUGGGUCGCUUUCGCUGUUCUGUUUUCAAGGUGCCGCACAUGAAGUCUGCAGCUCAAUGCAGAUUGGCGUCGCCUUGAUAAGCAAGCUCUUUGAAAAUAGAAUCUGGCGUUUUUCUGCGGAUGAAAGAUAGAAGAAUGCGAGUUGCUCUCGUUCUUCGAAGGCCGCUGGAAGAGACUUUUGUGCGUCAAAACAUAAGGGACUCGGAAAGCAAAUGGUCUUUGGAAGAAGCGAGAAAGACAGUGGAAACGAGAAGAGCAACUCAGCGCCAUGGUGAGUGCGCGAUAAGCUACUAAGGGCACAGUGGUGGAUGCCUUGGCGCCAGGAGGCGAUGAAGGACGUGGUAAGCUGCGAUAAGCCUCGGGGAGCGGCACACACGCUUCGAUCCGGGGAUUUCCGAAUGGGGGAACCCCCUCAGGGUCAUGCCUGAGGAUCCGGACACCGAAUUCAUAGGGUCCGGAGGCAAACCGAGCGAACUGAAACAUCUAAGUAGCUCGAGGAAGAGAAAGUAAGAAAGACGAUUCCCCAAGUAGCGGCGAGCGAACGGGGAAGAGCCUAAACUGUAACGACAUGUGGCGUGGGCGCUUAGUCGUUAUGGGGUUUGUGGGGACGUUUUGGGCCAGAGCCCAUUCUGGCCGGAGAGUGAAAAAACCUGCGUUUUAGCCAAACGGACUUGGAAAAGUCGGCCGUAGAGGGUGAGAGCCCCGUAGGCGAAAAGACCAGGCCUCUCUGGAGACGUUACCCGAGUAGUGCGGGACACGUGGAAUCCCGUGCGAAUCUUGGAGGACCAUCUCCUAAGGCUAAAUACUACCUGGCGACCGAAAGUGAACAAGUACCGUGAGGGAAAGGUGAAAAGCACCCCGGCGAGGGGAGUGAAAUAGUACCUGAAACCCUGUGCCUACAAACUGUGGGAGGGCAUCUAACUGCUUCGGCAGUAAGGCCUGACCGCGUGCCUUUUGCAUAAUGAGCCAACGAGUUACUCUGUGUAGCAAGGUUAAGGUCAAGAAGACUGGAGCCGUAGCGAAAGCGAGUCUGAAAAGGGCGAACAUAAGUUUCACGGAGUAGACGCGAAACCGGAGUGAUCUAUCCAUGGACAGGGUAAAGCCGAUGUAACAGUCGGUGGAGGCCCGAACCCGUUGAAGUUGAAAAUUCAUGGAUGAGCCGUGGAUAGGAGUGAAAGGCCAAUCAAACCCGGAGAUAGCUCGUUCUCCCCGAAAUAGCUUUAGGGCUAGCCUCAGGAAAGAUAGCCGACGGUGGUAGAGCACUGGAUGGACUAGGGGCCCCACCAGGUUACCAAACCCAACCAAACUCCGAAUGCCGUCGGAACUGUAUCCUGGGAGUCAGACUACGGGUGAUAACAUUCGUGGUCGAGAGGGAAAGAACCCAGAUCGCCAGCUAAGGUCCCCAAAUCUGAGCUAAGUGGUAAAGGUGGUGGAGGCGCUCAGACAACCAGGAGGUUGGCUUAGAAGCAGCCACCCUUUAAAGAAAGCGUAAUAGCUCACUGGUCAAGUGAAUCUGCGCCGAUAAUCCAACGGGGCUCAAGCUCAGUACCGAAGCUGCGAGAUAAGUCUAGAAAUGGACUUCAUCGGUAGGGGAGCGUUCCAAGCUGCUGCGAAGGUGGACCGACAAGGACUGCUGGAGCGCUUGGAAGUGAGUCUGUUGGCACGAGUAGCGAUAAAACGGGCGAGAAACCCGUUCGCCGAAAACCCAAGGUUUCCUGAGCAAGGUUAAUCCGCUCAGGGUCAGUCGGUCCCUAAGCCGAGGCCGAGAGGCGUAGGUGAUGGGAAUCAGGCUUAAUAUUCCUGAACCAGCAUAGCGACGUUAUCAGUGAUGGGGUGACGCAGAAGGAUAGAUGAGCCCCCGGAAGGAAGUGGGGGUCCAAGCCUGUAGCAUGGCUUUAUUGGUAAAUCCGUAAAGCUAUAUGUGAGAGGUGAUGGCCAGGGCCAAAAGCCCAUAAAGUCAUCGAGUCCCGGCUGCCAAGAAAAACCUCUAACGAGUCGAUGUGCUGACCGUACCGGAAACCGACACAGGUGGGUGGGGAGAGAAUCCCAAGGCGCUUGAGAUAACACUCGCUAAGGAACUCGGCAAAAUGGCCCCGUAACUUCGGGAAAAGGGGCGCCUCGAGUAGGUGAUGAGACUACGCGUCUCAAAGCUGAACGAGGUCGCAGUGAAACGGCUCAAGCGACUGUUUACUAAAAACACAGGACUCUGCUAAGUCAGUCGACGACGUAUAGGGUCUGACGCCUGCCCGGUGCCGGAAGGUUAAUGGGAGGGGUCAGGGGGGUAACCCCCGAAGCUCCGAACUGAAGCCCCGGUAAACGGCGGCCGUAACUAUAACGGUCCUAAGGUAGCGAAAUUCCUUGUCGGGUAAGUUCCGACCUGCACGAAUGGCGUAACGACUUGAGCGCUGUCUCAGCGAGUGGCUCAGUGAAACUGUAGUGCUGGUGAAGAUGCCAGCUACCCGCAUCUAGACGGAAAGACCCCGUGAACCUUUACUGCAACUUGACAGUGGGCUUUGGUGUAAUACGUGCAGGAUAGGUGGGAGGCGAUGAAGUCAGGGCGCUAGUCCUGGCAGAGCCGUCCUUGAGAUACCACCCUUAUUGCUCUAGAGCUCUAACCUCGCGAGCCGUUGUACCGGCCGAGGGACACUGUCUGGUGGGUAGUUUGACUGGGGCGGUCGCCUCCAAAAUGGUAACGGAGGCUCC
rnacentral:misc_RNA from 1 species